ACCCCUGGCCCAGCAGAGCCCUGGCUUCCCUUGCAGAGGCCCCACACGGACCAACUUGGCAAGCAGGUUCCUCUAGGGCUGCUGGCACCCAGGGGGCCAGACCCUGAACCUUCUGAGGACCCCACAGGUGCUGGGGGCGUGGCCGCCGGGGACC